rnacentral:rRNA from 1 species
CAGUAGCCGCGGGAAUACGUAGGGUGCGAGCGUUAAUCGGAAUUACUGGGCGUAAAGCGUGCGCAGGCGGUUGUGUAAGACAGGUGUGAAAUCCCCGGGCUUAACCUGGGAACUGCGCUUGUGACUGCACAGCUAGAGUACGGCAGAGGGGGGUGGAAUUCCACGUGUAGCAGUGAAAUGCGUAGAGAUGUGGAGGAACACCGAUGGCGAAGGCAGCCCCCUGGGCCAAUACUGACGCUCAUGCACGAAAGCGUGGGGAGCAAACAGGAUUAGAUACCCGUGUAGUCCCUGUCUCUUAUAC